GAUGAACGCUGGCGGCGUGCCUAAUACAUGCAAGUCGAGCGAACAGACGAGGAGCUUGCUCCUCUGACGUUAGCGGCGGACGGGUGAGUAACACGUGGAUAACCUACCUAUAAGACUGGGAUAACUUCGGGAAACCGGAGCUAAUACCGGAUAAUAUAUUGAACCGCAUGGUUCAAUAGUGAAAGACGGUUUUGCUGUCACUUAUAGAUGGAUCCGCGCCGCAUUAGCUAGUUGGUAAGGUAACGGCUUACCAAGGCAACGAUGCGUAGCCGACCUGAGAGGGUGAUCGGCCACACUGGAACUGAGACACGGUCCAGACUCCUACGGGAGGCAGCAGUAGGGAAUCUUCCGCAAAGGGCGAAAGCUUGACGGAGCAACGCCGCGUGAGUGAUGAAGGUCUUCGGAUUGUAAAACUCUGUUAUUAGGGAAGAACAAAUGUGUAAGUAACUAUGCACGUCUUGACGGUACCUAAUCAGAAAGCCACGGCUAACUACGUG
rnacentral:rRNA from 1 species